UACAGAGACUGCAAGCGUUAUUCGGAUUCACUGGGCGUAAAGGGGGCGCAGGCGGCCGUGUGUGUGAGGCGUGAAAGCCCGGGGCUCAACCCCGGAAUUGCACCUCAAACUACAUGGCUAGAGCAUUGGAGAGGGUAGCGGAAUUCACGGUGUAGCAGUGAAAUGCGUAGAUAUCGUGAGGAACACCAGAGGCGAAGGCGGCUACCUGGACAAUUGCUGACGCUCAGGCACGAAAGCGUGGGGAGCAAAAGGG
rnacentral:rRNA from 1 species